AAAGCAUAGCGAAUGCUCGCUUCAUUAUCUCAAAUGAAGAGGAAAGUCCGAGCUGCAAAAGACAAGAAUUCCAUCUAACGGAUGGCUAGGGUGACCUAAGGGACAGUGCAACAGAAAACAAACUACCACAAAAAGUGGAAAAGGUGAAAAGGUGAGGUAAGAGCUUACCAGCGAUUUUAGUAAUAAUUUCGGCUUUGUAAACCCAAUUCGCAGCAAGAAGGGAUGGUUUAAGUCUUUAAUUGAACCCUUCGCUUGAUUUUGUUUGUAAAAACAAAACUAGAUAAAUGAGCAUUUAAAACAGAACUCGGCUUAUAGCUAUGCUUU
rnacentral:RNase_P_RNA from 1 species